GCUUAUGCGUUGUUGGGUAGGGGAGCGUUCUGUAAGCCUGCGAAGGUGGCCUGUGAGGGUUGCUGGAGGUAUCAGAAGUGCGAAUGCUGACAUAAGUAACGAUAAAGCGGGUGAAAAGCCCGCUCGCCGGAAGACCAAGGGUUCCUGUCCAACGUUAAUCGGGGCAGGGUGAGUCGACCCCUAAGGCGAGGCCGAAAGGCGUAGUCGAUGGGAAACGGGUUAAUAUUCCCGUACUUGGUGUUACUGCGAAGGGGGGACGGAGAAGGCUAUGUUGGCCGGGCGACGGUUGUCCCGGUUUAAGCGUGUAGGUGUGUGUUCCAGGUAAAUCCGGUUCACUUUAACACUGAGGCGUGACGACGAGGCACUACGGUGCUGAAGCAACAAAUGCCCUGCUUCCAGGAAAAGCCUCUAAGCAUCAGGUAACAUCAAAUCGUACCCCAAACCGACACAGGUGGUCAGGUAGAGAAUACCAAGGCGCUUGAGAGAACUCGGGUGAAGGAACUAGGCAAAAUGGUGCCGUAACUUCGGGAGAAGGCACGCUGACACGUAGGUGAAGUGAUUUACUCAUGGAGCUGAA
rnacentral:rRNA from 1 species